rnacentral:ncRNA from 1 species
CUAUUCCGUCGCUCCUACCGAUUGAAUGGUCCGGUGAAGUGUUCGGAUCGCGGCGACGUGGGUGCUUUGUCGCCGACGACGUCGCGAGAAGUCCACUGAACCUUAUCCUUUAGAGGAAGGAGAAGUCGUAACAAGGUUUCCGUAGGUGAACCUGCGGAAG